GGGCGGUGGAGGGGAGGGGAGACGUGGCGCUGUCCCUCUCCGUAGCCGUGCAGCUCAUCUCUCCGCCAGCCCCUUGGGGGGGGAUGUCAGACGGGGGGGCGGGGGGGUCUCCGGUUGCAACUGAGGCUGAAUCUACUUUGAGGUAUUUUGAGCUAACGGCUGCAACUCGAAAUGGUAAAAAAAAAAAAUUUAAAAAAAAAACACCUGGGAAACGUUGCGACGUGUCGAGGAUCAAUGAGAAACACCGAAGACACUUCACUGGGUUUUGUAAGUGAGUUAAUUCAGCCUUAACUCCUCCCCGUUCGGAAGGCGCCAGUGAUUCUGGUUGAUCUGGCUUGACGUGGCCUCGGGUCGACAAAGCCCGCUGGAGGAGGUCGCACUUCAUCUUCUGUAAAUGUGACUCGAGGCCUUGUGUUUGUUUCAGCAGAGGAUCUCAACCUGUGGCAAUUGGUGAUCUUUUGAAAGGUAAACGCCGGUUUUCGCCGUCGAGGAGUGUGAAGACGCUACGACUUUGUUUGUUUCAUCCUGAUGUAUCGUCUUAAAGAUUAUGUAUUUCAAAAGAUUAGACAUUCAUUAGAAAAUGUUGUUGUUUACAAAAAUUUAUUCAUACAAAUCUUACAACACUUUCAUAACAUUGAGAAACGUAAAACCCCAUAUAAGGACUCCUGUGUGUAUAAUGAUGCAACUUGUACUAAGGUUCACUUUUAAAACACAUUGUCUUCAGAUAGAUAAGAGAUUAAACAUUGAAGUAAGGCGUUUGGCGCUUUCAGAAAUAUCAACAACAGGCAUUUUGCUUGGAUCUGAACAACAUAUCUGUCAUGUUUUCGAAACUCUUUUCUUCCACUUAGUGAUGCACACGGUUAAAACUAGUAUGUUGGGGCUAUUUUCCAAUUAAUAGAUUACUGACCAAUAUCAAAAUAAUCAACAACACCUGAUAAUCGACGGCAACAAACUGGUCGUUGUUCACAACUCUUGCAGACACUGAACACCCCAAACUCAUGCACACAAACACGCACAUUGCCUAUUCCAUCAACAUUCUGCUCUUUUUAUAUUUUUCUACUCAAUAAAUCAUUAGCCGUGCUUCUAAAAGAAAGCCUAGUUCUACUACUACUACUCUCAGGGCCGACUGAGCUGGGCAAUUAAACAGAGUGAAAGGAACUUUCAAUGUAAGCUUAUGGACUGCAGCAUUGUAGGGCCACUAAAAUUGCCAUCUGUCACUUGUGGCAAAUUUCUUUAUUUCAUUUUUUUUUUUUUUUCUCACGUCAAAGCAAGGCACCCAAAGCCGUUAAGGCUGUUUCCACCUUCACUUGUACGUUCAGUCACCCGUUCACACAAGCACACAUCGGACGCGCGCGCUCAAACACUCACACGUGAAACAUGGGACGCUCACCAAUAUUCGAACACCUACAUCGCACGCUCGCACUCAGACAACGCCUGUUUGGAUAAAGCCGAAAUUGAGGGAGCGCCCAGAUUGUUUCUCCGGAGAAGGGGGGCCUUUGAAGGGGGGGGGGGGGGGGGCACAGGCCACUGGAUUGGAUUGCAGAGGUGCCUAAAGUUGCAUUUGCAUGACAUCGAAUAAAUACAUAAGAUGUCCCCCCCAAUAAACUUCGACUGGAGGGCUGAGAUGGAUCCGCCUCUUCUCCAUUCCAGAGCGAUAGAGGGGCCCUUUUCUUUUCAUCCUCCAAAGGGGGAGUUUUAACAUCUGACUUUGGGACUAAUUGACCUCAGAGUUACUUUUGCAGGGGAAGGAAGGCGGCGGGGCUCUCGCCUCUUGUUCUUCUCCGUAUCCAGACAACCUCUCUCAGGCUGUGACCCGUCUUCACUUCGUUCUCUCUCUCUCUCGCGCUCGUUGUCUCUUUGUCUCCAGCACUGUCUUCCUCUCCAUGCACACCUCUCUCUCUAUCUCUCUCACUCUUUGUCUCCCUCUCUCACACCCAAAACACUCUCCUCAUCUCUUCGUCACAUUCUCACUGCACAGACCUCACAAGACAUCUAACACGGAUCAUAUAAGCCUCAAACGAAGAAUCACAGCAUUGUCAAUUCGGCUAUUCUACACAGCGAUCUAGAAGCAAAAGAAUCUUUCAAAACCACAACCAGGACAAAGGCAAUUGACAAAGAAGGAGGGGGGGGGGGCGGGGGUCCAGUGUCUCGUCUCAUAUCCACAAUGAAAAGCAGCAGGGGAGGUAAAGAAAUCAACAAGUCGGUGCAGUA
ensembl:lncRNA